UGGGGGAUAGUUUAGUGGUAGAACUCUCGACUCUGACUCGAGCAGCCAAGGUUCGAAUCCUUGUCCCCCAGCCA
rnacentral:tRNA from 5 species